CCUACGGGUGGCAGCAGUGAGGAAUAUUGGUCAAUGGCCGAGAGGCUGAACCAGCCAAGUCGCGUGAGGGAAGACGGCCCUACGGGUUGUAAACCUCUUUUGUCGGGGAGCAAAGCGAACCACGUGUGGUUCAUUGAGAGUACCCGAAGAAAAAGCAUCGGCUAACUCCGUGCCAGCAGCCGCGGUAAUACGAGGGAGGCGAGCGUUAUCCGGAUUUAUUGGGUUAAAAGGGUGCGCAGGCGGAGGUGCAAGUCAGCGGUCAAAUUGCGGGGCUCAACUCCGUACUGCCGUUGAAACUGCAUCCCUUGAGUGCGCGAGAGGUAUGCAGAAUGCGAGGUGUAGCGGUGAAAUGCAUAGAUAUCACGCAGAACUCCGAUUGCGAAGGCAGCAUACCGGCGCUCAACUGACGCUCAUGCACGAAAGCGUGGGUAUCGAACAGGAUUAGAUACCCGUGUAGUC
rnacentral:rRNA from 1 species